GAUCCUGGCUCAGGAUGAACGCUAGCUACAGGCUUAACACAUGCAAGUCGAGGGGCAGCAUGAACUUAGCUUGCUAAGUUGAUGGCGACCGGCGCACGGGUGAGUAACACGUAUCCAACCUUCCGUUUACUCAGGGAUAGCCUUUCGAAAGAAAGAUUAAUACCUGAUAGUAUGGUGAGAUUGCAUGAUAGCACCAUUAAAGAUUUAUCGGUGUACGAUGGGGAUGCGUUCCAUUAGGUAGUAGGCGGGGUAACGGCCCACCUAGCCUACGAUGGAUAGGGGUUCUGAGAGGAAGGUCCCCCACAUUGGAACUGAGACACGGUCCAAACUCCUACGGGAGGCAGCAGUGAGGAAUAUUGGUCAAUGGACGAGAGUCUGAACCAGCCAAGUAGCGUGAAGGAUGAAGGUCCUACGGAUUGUAAACUUCUUUAUAAGGGAAUAAAACCUCCCACGUGUGGGAGCUUGUAUGUACCUUAUGAAUAAGCAUCGGCUAACUCCGUG
rnacentral:rRNA from 1 species